CAUCUGGGAGGGUGGGGCAUUUCGUGACACGUGGCGGUUUCUUAGAGACUUACGAAAACUGCUUCAAUGCUCGACGUUAGUUGUUUAAUUAUUUGAGCUACAUGUUUUUAUGGUUAAAUCAGUGGGCUUUUUGAUUAUUGUCUAAAAAGCCCAUAUAAUUUAGGGUUUAUUCAGUUUUAUACGUCGUGGUUCUUCACUUCUCACCACCAAAAACUGUCGUCGUUGUAACAUCUUCAUUAAUCAUCACUUGAAAACAUUUAUCCAAGCAUUAAGAUUUUCUGCACCACUCCUCCCACUCUCUCGAAUUAAAUCGACCAUAACAUCCUCCAAAGUAUUUUCCUGAAGCUUCACCUAUAAAUGGCUUUGUUGCCUAGGAUGAACAGUACUAUCAAAACGAAAUCCCAAAGGUCUUCCUCUGUCAAGCAUCAAAUCCAUCAAUGGCGAAUCAUUUACUCUUCUCCCCGAUUUUAAAGCCAAACACUGUUCAAACACAGUCGAGAGAUUCUGAGAAGCAAGAAAUGUUAAGAAAGGCUGCCAACUCAUGGAUGUCCACAUGCUUCUCCUUGACGAGCAGUCGAUUUCGAUUCAAGGUUCUAUCGCUUAAUACUUUCAGAAAUCUCUUGAAGGAACGAGGGAUGUACGAGUUUCGUGGUAUUGAUGUCGCUGGAAGCAACAGCCACGUCAAAGUCUCCGACGCACCAGUUUCUAUAUGUUUCACUGGCCACACGAGCUUUGUCGAGGUCACGGAACCGACAGUGAACCAUCCAACAGAGAAGUUUCGUUUACAAAUGUAUGAUCAACUCAUGGCUUUGGCUAACACUAACGUGGAUUUGGCUGGUUUGUAUAACAACUUUCAACUCAUACUUUAACCGUAUGUCCUCCAUUCAAGCAGAUAACUAGCAGAUGCUCCUAACACUUAUGUUUGCAAUGUUUGUUUCAGACAUCAUGGGCAAAGUUAGUAGUAUAAACAUUGUUUUUUAAUGAAGAAAACCAGUCCAUAUAGCUGGUCUUAAAAUGUUAACUGACUGAAGUUUUGUUUCAGGUCGGCUUCCUGAAUGCAACCUCUGAAAUUCAUUUCUAUUUUGAUAAUGAGAAUGGUGCAGGUACAAGUUAUCUUGACAGGUAAAUAGGACAUGAGGCAGUGGAAAAGGCUUGACCUCCCGCCCUACAAAAUAUGGGGGUGUUAAGAAGAUUAAAUGGAUGGUUCUACAUUUCUUGCUCCAAGUGCUACCGGGAAUUGCAGGGUGGGUUUACAUCAUUCACAUGGGCUUCCUACAAUGAGGUGAACGCUGUUGGUAUCAUUAGAUAAGUCACGUUCUUAUUUUUUAGGAAACGGUUACUAAUAUUUUCACAUUCUUUCGCUUAUGAAGGCCGCAGGUGUACAAGAGCCACAUGAUUGUGACCUUCCACAAUGCUUAGAGGAGAUUAUUGGGAGUACUUUAACCUUCCAAUUGAACCUACCUCACUUCAACUUCACUGCAAAACAUCAGAGCUUCACCGUCUCUUGCAUUCUUGACCACAACCAGCGCCCUCCCCAACGUAAUUUUGAGGUUCAUGGUGGGAAUGACAACCCUGAAGAUAAUAUGCCAGGUGCUGGAGCAAUAAAAAAACCCCACAGUAUUGGACUUAAUAGCACACUGUGAAUGAUGGUAAUCGUGUUGGUAAUGGUGAUGUUGAAGGUGGAAGAGGUGACGCAUCAGAUCCACGAGAUAACUCUGUUGACGGAAGCAGCACAGGAGAGGGGGCACCUGUGGAGGAAGAUUGGUGUUCUGCAGAGAAGACACAUAAUGAGUAAAAACGUUAAGAGAUCAAGGGGUGCUUAGGUUGCAAGAGAGGAUGCCGUUUCUAUGCAUUAGUUUUUAAAUAAGAUUUCCAGACACUAUUAUGUCUGAGUACUACAAAGUUUCUGCUUUUAUUAUUUCCAGUUUUUUUUUUGAAACACUAUUUCCAGUUUUCUUAUUGUAACUUAUUUCCAAUUUUUUUUUGUUUAGAACACUUUAGUCAUAUCAGUCUUUUUUGCAUUUAAAAUAUUAAUAUCAUAUUCUCAAACACCGUUCCCGAUUCCUAGGAAAUCAUAAUCUAAUAGUCUCAAACAUUAACCAGAAUAUUGAUUAUUCCGUUCCGUUUUUACGAGAAUUAAUUUGAUACUUAGAAAAAUCAGUCAGUACAUGAAGAAAAUCGGCCCAUAACAUCCAGAAUUUUCAAUACUUUAUAGCUAUGCAGACAAAAGUAACUUUGUUUCAGUUGGUCAAUAACUCUUUUCAAUCAACUAUCAACAAAUUUCGGGCACCCAUAUACUGCACAAUCCUUCGCUGCACCAAAGUCAAAGAAUACGAACCUUAAACAGAAGCAUGGUUUACACAUCUACGAGGAAGGAGAAAGAGAGAGUUAUCUGAGUAAGAAUGACACGGCAAGAACAUCCGGAAAACUCGAACCAUAUAUUUGACAUGUAUAAAAAAUGAUAUUAGCCUGUUGCAACAAAAAAAUGAUAUUAAGUUCAAAAAAAAUAUUAUAUUAGCAUUUACAUCUAUUUUGUAAAUGAUGUUAGUUUGGUAUAAUUAAAAUAAUUAGUUACAAUUUUUAAAUCAUUUAUCGAUAACGAACUAAAAUUAAUAUUAAUUACCAAAAUUAACUUUAAAAUUUUUACAAUUUAAAAUAAGUGGCUUAAAUUUUUAAAUCAUUUGUAUAUUUUAUUUUAAAUAUAGUUCAGUAUAUAAAUUAACUAAAUAAUUUUUCAUACCCAUUUAACAUUUUCUUUUCCACUAAAAGGAUAAUCUGCAAAGCAAAAAAAGUAAGAAAUGAUAAAUAAGAUGAAUCCAUAUAAAUAUGGAUUUAUAUUUAUUUUUAUUGGAGCGAGUCUGUGUUUUUGGUGGUCGUUAAAACCCUAUAAUUCUGACAUGACAUGACAUCUGCUAACAUGUAUCAUAAAAUCGAUUAUUAGUUCACAGCCCUUAAUUCUUAAUUGGCAGACCUAAUAAUUCAAACUCAAUUGGACUAACAACUUAGAGAUGAAAAAUGAAACUAAUUGAAUUAAAAAAAAAACUUUCAAACCCGGUGUACGCGCCGGAAUACCUCUAGUAAUUAAUAAAAGAGCGAUGGUAAACUAUAGUUUGUUGACGUGUAAAUGAGCUGGCAAAGAAUAUUAUAAUCGUUUUUGGCCAAUAAAUAAAAAUCAAACGCAAUUAUCCAACCUUUUGUCUCUGAACUUUCCGUUUGCAAUUGCCGUCCGAAUCAACGAGACACAAAUGUAAGAUGGGUUUUGUUCAUCGAUGCAGAAGCUUGUAAAGGCAUUUAAUUGUUUGAUGGAACAACCCAGUAACGAUAUCUCUCAAGAACAAGCUCGUGAGUCUCUCAUUGCUAUCUCCUACACUUCACCAGAGGAGGUUGAAGACUCUCUAACGCCCUCAGAUGUGAAACCUGUCGUCAGUACCACAAAUGGAGUCACCAAAACGAACUCUGAAGUCGCGGAAAAGCUCAGAUCUGAGCUGAUCUCCAUCUCCUACGACGAGUCACCGUCCCCCUCACCUGAUGUUUCUCCGACCUUGCCCAACGGUGUCUGAUAUAAGUAACUGUACAGAUCAAAGUCUGUUCCUUUUCCAUGCGUACAACUUUGGUUUGGUCUAAAAGGUAGACCAUUGUGAUAUCUUAACGUUUUCUUUCAUGAACUGUAUGAAAGUUUUUCUUAUUUGUGUUGUUUAAAGUUAAAAGCUCUCUCUUGAGUCUUAUUUGAA